UGUAGAUGUAUUGCUUAGGGGCAAGCUGCCCAUGAUCUGUUGUUGAUCUCUGCCUUGUGUCCAAUUGGGGCUUUAAACAAUGGUUCACUUGUGCAAAGAGAAGCUUCUUGGAUGAGGGAAAAUAAUAAGAAGGAACCUGGAGUCCGUGCACAGCAUUCAAGGACUGAACCAGCGUUGAACUAACAAGAACCAUUCUUUUGAAAGGCACCUAGAGAUUUCCUCGCUUGCAAAGUUGCUCUGGACUGAAAGUUAUCAUAGGAACUGUGAAGCUACCAAGGGUGAGCAGAAAAGGAGCCAGCAUUGCUCCAAGGCAGCUUCUUUCUGAGGAAGGCCCUUCAUAAGAAACAUGCCAACUGUACCUCACACAUAUUGGGUACGCGGAACCUAAACUUCUCCUAACCUUAGCUUCAUGUUAUUGCCAGCACCUGGGUACCAUGAGAGCCAGUUCUUCUAGAACCUGAUAGGUAGCAAAGAAUCACUACUGUAGAUGCUGCAGCCAUUGGGUUGACUUCGGUUUUGAUUUCAAAGAGCCUUUUAUGUUGUUUGUACUCUCAUAUAAUAUGAAAAGCACAACACACACAUAAGCUACACCCACUACAACUAUUGAAAUGACAGCUCAGCAGAACCUUCAGUGGCUUCAGUCCCCCCCAGCCCUGCCCAACCCCACACCAACAGAACUAACAUCACUAAGAACUGCCCUUGGACACAUCGCCUUAAUCAUAGCAGUGAUGAAGGAUGUGACAAAUGAACUAAAAGCUGCCAAACAACAAGGACUCCAUGGGUCUGUAACAAAGACAAGAAAGAAAAGGCUUCAUCCAGUGUUUUAGGAUUACAUGACCCAAUGCCUGGUGAUCAUUUUGAAUGAGUUUGAAUUCAAUACCAGAACACUAAGUGGCUGCUACUGGACAUUUGUCAAGUACAUGAUAAACAUGUCACUAAGUAAGGAAAGGAGAUGAGCAUCAUGGCCCGUUGCUUAGUGGAUACACAGGGUAGCAACCAGAAAGAAAGGGAUGUAGAGUAAGGGUGUGGCAUGCGGUGGUGGAAGAACAGGUCAGGAGGAGCACAGUACACAGUUUAAUAAAAGGAAGGGGUGCAUGAAAUGCUGUGGGGGUGAAGCUGGUGGGAAGAAAUUCUUAUUUUUCACUUCCCAGAUAUCCAAGUCCAGGUAUGAAAUCUUCAGUCUUCUGUGCAGGUCACCUGGACCUCCAUGAUCCUUCAACACUCAGAGGAAUUACAAGUCUCACAACCUGAACAAAGUCAGUACACGUCAGCGCCGCUUGUAAAUCAUGCCAGACGUGACUUUUGUCGAUUCGUUUUGUUUCUAGCAAGAUGGAAAACCAUUAAUACGGUCUUUAACUUUAAAGCAGACUUGUGAGCGCCGAGAUAAAAUACUAAGAAUUCUCUCUGACUGAACGAAGAAACAAUAAAACGAGCUGAUUCUAUUUGUGGAUAACAAAACCCUUCUCAAGAAGGAGCACACACUUCCUUAAGUGCUAAUCAUCCUACCCAGUCUCACUCACUGACUUAAAAAACAGGUUUCUCACAGUGUCUGAAGUAAGGCAGACUUGCAAUAAGAAGGUAUAUAAUUCCUUUCAAAUAAAUGUGGGCACUGACUCUA